rnacentral:rRNA from 1 species
UGGGGAAUAUUGCACAAUGGGCGAAAGCCUGAUGCAGCGACGCCGCGUGAGGGAUGACGGCCUUCGGGUUGUAAACCUCUUUCAGCAGGGAAGAAGCGAAAGUGACGGUACCUGCAGAAGAAGCGCCGGCUAACUACGUGCCAGCAGCCGCGGUAAUACGUAGGGCGCAAGCGUUGUCCGGAAUUAUUGGGCGUAAAGAGCUCGUAGGCGGUUAGUCGCGUCUGCUGUGAAAACUCGAGGCUCAACCUCGGGCUUGCAGUGGGUACGGGCUGACUAGAGUGCAGUAGGGGUGACUGGAAUUCCUGGUGUAGCGGUGGAAUGCGCAGAUAUCAGGAGGAACACCGAUGGCGAAGGCAGGUCACUGGGCCGCAACUGACGCUGAGGAGCGAAAGCAUGGGGAGCGAACAGGAUUAGAUACCCUGGUAGUCCAUGCCGUAAACGUUGGGCACUAGGUGUGGGUCCAUUCCACGGAUUCCGUGCCGCAGCAAACGCAUUAAGUGCCCCGCCUGGGGAGUACGGCCGCAAGGCUAAAACUCAAAGGAAUUGACGGGGUCAUAGCUGUUU